AAGAACCUGAGCUUCAUUAAGUCCUGAAAUCAAAUGUGUGGAAGACCAGGUUUUGGCUGGGUUCAAGUCCCAGUCUGAGGUGACUGGUUUCACUUCUCUGGAUGAGGGCAGGAAGCUGAUCUGGAACACAGCGGGUGGUCGCGUUGCCCCUUUCUCCCUUGGCGUGAGGUCGAUGUCUUCCGGGCCUUGGGAGACCCCAAGGAGAAGUUGUGCAGCAGAGAGGUCAAGAAGAGGAAGAGCUCUGAGUGGGCCAAGCUCUCACCCAGACAGAGGCAUUUUCCUGCGGAUGUAAGGUGUCAGUGGAGGGGGAUUCCUGGAAAACAUGUGGUUGCCCCAUCUCCACAGUCCUGAAAUAUGUGCAUGCUCAUUUACAUAGAUUUGCAGGCAAAGUACUUGCGAUCCUAUUCUUGUCCUCAGUACCAACACCAGUGUGUGUGUGGGGUGGGGGUGGGGAGAGGGGGGUGUAUGUGCCAGUGCACGCAGGGGUGCGUGCCUGUAAGUUCUACUUCAGCUCCACCUCUUCCCAGCCUAUCCCAUACAGAUGCCCUCCUGUGUCCCUCCUGGCACCUAGGGACACCAAUUUAUGAGAAAAUGGGAAAACACUGGAGAAAUCUCUGGCAGCGUGCCCUGGCUAUGAGGUACGGGGGAGCUGAAACCUCUGGCCUGUCCUGGAGUGGGUGGGCGUUUGGCUGUACAAAUGGUGACCUACUUCUAAUCAGUGGAUAAACUGCCUUUGCUCUAAGCUUCUGAGUGUCUGCACUCUUCUGGUCACUUUGACCCUCCUCCCAGCUCCCUGGUCCUCCUGCCCACCAUCAGCAGGCAACAAAGUCAGCCUGCCAGACCAAAUCCCCAAACCCCAACCCCUGGAGCUUCUGACUGCUCAUGCCUACAUCAUGCUUGAUAAGUACUCUUGACUAGUGCCCUGCUUACCCUUGAGCCUCAUUUUCUAUCAUAACACCCACUCAUGUCUUCCCGGAAGAUGAAGUCAGCCAUCACAGAAGUGUCCAUGUAGGUGGAGCCCUGAGUAUCCACAGCUGACUUCAGCACAGGCUGUGUGCACUGGAAUAACCAAGAGAGGGACCAGUGUGUGCUUGGGCUGGGCCACAGUUUUGACAGCAUCCUAUUGACCCACAGUCUCAGUGGGAAGGAAAGGAUCCCAGAGAGCUGCCUUGUGUGUGUGGCAAAGUUCAUUACAGCUCAUAAGUAGUCACAGCACAUCGCUGGGCACAUAAACAUCUCUGGCACAUUGAACUUGGAAGGGACUUGCUUUGUCCAAUGACCUGUGAGCUAAACGGGUGCAUGUUAUUCUGUUUUCCUUGUUUCUUUGUGUGUUUGGAUAGAGUUCCCACUAGCUCCAUUUCUACACGAUUGUGAUGACCUGGGGUGGGCGUGUUGACUGAGCAGAAAAAUAAGCUUUUUGACUUUUAGUUCUUGAGAUAUUAAGCAUAUUUAUCAUAGCUUAGCUGUGCCCUGACCUACAUAGACCCUGAGUUCCUACUGGGUCUUGAGCAAGCCCUAUGCCCUCCUGGGCCUCUCUGUUCCAGUUCUACAAGACAGAAUGAUUCAACACUCAGACAUUGACUGUUUCUUUAAGAGGUCAAAGGAGAAAAACAAUUUGAUCACUUGACAGGAGCUGAAAAAAUUAUCAAGAAUACUCAAUGGGAAUAUUAAAUCAAAAUUUUAAGAACUUGUUGUAAAACAGCGAGAAGAAAGAUAUUUCCUUUGGUAGAGUAGUCAUAAAAUAUCUGGAAUAGGCAAUAGCCAGCAUUCAGCUUCAUAGAGAAAAUAAAAAUACUCUCAAAGUUAGGACUUGGACAAGAUUGCUCACUAUCAGUGCUAUUACAUCACAUGAUUCCAGAAGUGCUAGCCCAUGAUAUUAGGGAAAACAUGACAUGACAUAUGGCUUUAGCAUAAGAAAUAAUUAAGUCAUAAUAUUAUCAUUUACAGAUGCUAACACCAGUUAGUAGGAACAGCCAAGAGAAUAAAUGAAACACUGUUCAUUAUGAAAGUAAUACAAAGAGUUUGUUCAGUUAUGACAGAAAUAUACACCCCCAAACCUCAGUGGAUUUCUGAUAGUAAAACAAUUAAAAUGUUUUUAGAAGAGUG